GGGGGGGAGUGAUAUUAUCACGAAAUUUUAUUUUAAAGCCAACAUUGCUAACGGCGUCGAGGUCCUUACUCAUGCCCAAGGAAUUUAAACAAUUAGUCAAAAUUGCAUUCUUUUCCUUUCUCCCUCCAGAAUAUCAGCGACUCCGAGCUUAAUUGCUUAUUCAGUCAUACUCGGACAAGAAUCAGCAGAAUCGGGGCCAGCCGGGACUUCUCCGAUGACGUAAUGGCGGAGAAAACGAUGAGGGUGAAGGUUAUGAUAGGGAGUCGGCGAGGCGUGACGGCGGUUUCCAAACAGCAAAAUCAUCUCAAAUCCGUUCUGGUAAUUUUUAAAUUCAAGGAUCUUUCAUAAUAUGAUCACACUUGUUAAUUUUCUGUAUCAUUUUUGUAAACGGUUUUCUGAAAUUUAUUUCGCAGCGAUUUCCUACUUGCAAACAUCCGGUUGGUCAAUCCCGAUCCCAUUGCCGAUCGAAUGAGUGUUCCGGCCUCUCCUGGUAACGACCAACACAAAUUCAACCCUGGUUCAACCAAAUUAUUGUUGUUAUUCUUUUUCAGCUGGUGCCCGCUUGCUACGUUGACGAUACUGCGAAAUGUUCCGGUGUGAUGCAAACUCGUUUGGGCCGGUCAGUUCAACGUAAAAAAUGACCGACACCUUCGACGAGCAGGAAACGUCACAAUACUGGAGUGUGGCCAGUGACGGCGCUGGCGCUAUAGCUCAGUUUUGGGGACAACUAUGGUGAGCAGGAACUACAUCUAGUUCGAAGUUCAAAGAUUGAAAAGCUGACCAACCGCUCCGUUAACGUCCAAGCCGGAGGAGGAAAAUCUCCCCCACCACUGGGAUCAACACCGCAACACGGCUUCCAGAAGCUGCACGAUAGUUCCAUGUGGCCGACUCCGGUGGCAUCCCAUGAAGACAGCAAAACUGCUAGCUGGUACCCGGAAACGAAUCCGUCGAGAAGCGGGCCCGGGAGCCGCCACCGCCGGUGAACAUCAGGCCAGUAGCAGCAGCAAGGUGACGGCACGAGCGAUAAUAUGCGCGAUUCAUUCACACCCAGCAAAGGGCAAGGUUCAACCAGCGGGCCAGCAGCCUCGUCGGGAAAUUGAUCGUAGUGACCGGGACGAUGGUGACAGCGAUAUGGUCCCCGGGAGAUCAUGAAGCGUCACAUUCACUCCGAGGAGGACGAUCGCUUCAGCAGCCGCGCCCGGAGUCAUCCAUCAAGAUGGGCGGCUACGGUGACCGUAAACGCCGCAGUUGAAUCAAUGCGUUUGGACGUGCUUAUUUCCGGUACUUCAGGGCUGUGGAUUCAAAGCAGGAGUCGGAUCUUUUUGGCCUUGCAACUGUACCACUUGGAGCUGGCCCAGGAGCAGAUGGCAGCGAAACCAGUGCAGCGGGAGCUUAGGUCAAUUUUUUUAAUCUCCAGAAAGUGGGUUCUGUGCAUCGACCAGGACGUUGGCCCGGGAAUGAAAAAAAGGUUACGCGCUGAAUUUUCGACGACCCCGCAGGAUGUCAACAGAUGAUCAAAAAGCUGAGGAACCAUUUGAGGCGUGCCGCCUUGUUGACAGGAGAAAGUAGAAGCUGCCUUGUUAUAAACUUCCGUUACGCCAAAAGCAGCACCGGCCGCCAUCCGGCGAAAUGCUACGUGGAGUCAUGAAGAACAAAAACAUAACCCUACUCAAGAUGCGUAUGUACAUCGAGAAACCCUAUUCGUUCUGUUGGAUUGGAUCAGGACUUUAGUAAGCUGCUGCAGGCGGAAUAUGUGGCCAAAGUGUUUGCCGAUAUGGUUGCCCUCUAGCCGGAAGUCGUUUUCACUGAGAUGGGCGUCUACGAUCUGGCCCAACACUUCCCGUUGAAUGUCGGCACGGCGAUUCGCCAGCUGCGUAAAACCGAAAUCAACCGGCUGGCUCGUGCUUACACCAACCAUCGUCAACCAAACGGAGAAAAUCACUGAGAAGGACCUCGGAACCGGUACCGGUCUAUUCGAGAUCAAAAAGAUGGCCGACGAAUACUAACCUAACCCCAAAAUAUGCACCAUUUCCUCCAUGGUGUCUCCAAGGACAUUCUCAACGAAACCGAACGUAAUCUGCCGGACGCUCUGCACGAAAACUUAUGCUCAAACCGCGUCUCCACCUGGGCGGUGACGCCGUUGCAAUUGACAUCUCACGGGCCCUCACCAACUAGCAGUUCCAUGGUCCGUACUGUGCCGUCGCCCAAGCCCCCGCCACCUCGUCGUUUAGGAAAGAUUCGUUUCGGCUGCAACGAGGUCGUGCGCUUGGAACCACGCUUCCGGACGUUGAAGUGGCCUGAUCCUGAUCAGCGUGAUAAUUUCGUUGCGAAGCUUCGUAGUGGAACCAGGUUCAGCUAGUCCAAUAAGGAGAAUGAGCUGGAGCAGAAUGGCACCAGUUCUCGGUUGCCGCUCGAUUUUGGCCGUAAGGACCUGCCAGGAUUUUGGGCGGAAAUCGGCGAGCCAAAAUAAGGACGGUCGAAGUGGUCAAGAUUGAAGAGAAGGUAGAUGACGUUUUGGAACGCCUUUUCCGGCAAGAAUUGGUAAAUUCAAAGAGCUUUUAUAAUAUGAUCACAAUUUUUUAAUCUUUCUUUCUAUUUUUUUAUAUUUCUCUGGCAUUUCGGCCUCCGGUAGUUUCUUACGAUGGAAAUCAACCGGUAAACCUGCAGCGAUGGAUCGACCAGGCCAACGACACCGUCUACGAUAGUCGAGGACCUGAUAAGGACAGGAGCGGCAGGAUAAACCUCGUGGAUUCUCAUUCUCAAGACGAAAAAUCAAGAACCAUCCAGUGCAGUCAUGUGCCAAAAAAUGCCCCGGAGUCCCGACCAGCCACACCUUUCAUUAGGCACACGAAGAUGACUCCAACCACAGAAGAAUCGGAAUCAAAAAGAACCAGCCGGACAGUUCCGUGCCGCUCAACGAACCUGCCGUCGUUCCAGACACUCCUCUAUGCACAACUCCCCGGCUCGGAGAAGGAAGAGAACCACAAUGGCAUGGAUAAGAACCAGAACCGAGCCGGACUUCAACUCAGACGCCACGAUGCUGGUCUGAAACGUUGCCGCCCGUCCUCACCAGGACAACCUCGCAUUAGGCGCAGGAGCAGUCUGCGGAAGGGGAAUCAAAGUAAGUGAUGCGUGUCUCAAAAUCAGACCCGCAUCGGCCCCUGUAGGUCUGAUCGUCGCUCUGACGAUCAGACCCGAUCGGCCCCGUAUUUCUUUCUGGGCUGCCGGCUACAUUCUAAAGCGAUGUUUUUCCUCAAACAUUUUGUUGCAAAUUUUCUUAAACAAACUUCAAAGAUCUAAACACACUUAGAUUUUUUUACCGAAUUCGGUAUUUGAAAAAUCGGUAAAGUUUAGAUCGGUAAACCAUCUGUCAAAAUUAACAAAAUUUUAUCGAAUUUCGGUUGUACGAUGAACAAUAAUGAACUUCAUUACCGAAUUUCGGUAAGUUUUCACCGAAUUUGGUAUUUUUCAGUUUACCGAACUGUUCAGCAGUUGAAAAUUUUACCGAAUACCUUUACCGAAUUCGGUAAAAAAAAUCUAAGUGUGUUGUGUUAACCAAAAAAAUUAGCACAAUUACUUGUUUUUGCCUAAAAAGCCGAGCAGGGAGUAUCCCCAAUGUCGAUUUUUUUUUAAUUAUCACCCUAAUGUCCAUGCUCCAUACAAAACAUAUGAUUUAGUUUAAAUAUUUGUCCUCGGGGCGACGGUCGCCCACGUGGUUUAUGGAUGGUUUUUAAUCCUGCUAAAUGAAUCAAUAUUCGAAAAUAUCCCAGCAAGAUUAGGGGGCAACAAUACAUGGUCUCGUCAUAAAACAUUUAAAAUAUCAAUAAAAAUGGAGAUCAAAUGGCAAUCAAAAUAAUCAAAAUUAAAAUUUUGCAUAUUUUUUUUUAUAUUUAGGUUUCGCAAAAAGUAUUUCUAAAAAAUCUCCUUGAAAUUUAGAUGUAUGAUGUCCUUGAUUUAUUGAAUUAACCAUAUUAUUACAAUUUUCAAAGUAUUUAGUAUUUAUUUGACUUCCAUUGACCUCGGGGAUCAUCCACAAACCAAACGGAUAAUUUUGAAAAUCAUGCAUGAGUUUAUAUUUUCGUUUUUAAAGAAUCGGGUAACUUUUUUAAAGGUUUUUUUCUGAGCCACUGUCUUAAGGGGUUACAAACAUGUAGAAAAUCAUAAAAUUUUAUGGGUAAUUCUCUACCAACUCACACGAAAUCGGGAAAAGUUGCCCCGACCCCUCUUCGAUUUGCGUGAAACUUUGUCCUAAGGGGUAACUUUUGUCCCUGAUCACGAAUCCGAGGUCCGUUUUUUGAUAUCUCGUGACGGAGGGGCGGUACGACCCCUUCCAUUUUUGAACAUGCGAAAAAAGAGGUGUUUUUCAAUAAAAACGUAUUUUUCAUCGAAAAAAACACUAAAAAAGUAUUAAAAAUUCUCCCAUUUUCCGUUACUCGACUGUAAAAUUUUUUGGAACAUGUCAUUUUAUGGGAAAUUUAAUGUACUUUUCGAAUCUACAUUGACCCAGAAGGGUCAUUUUUUCAUUUAGAACAAAAUUUUUCAUUUUGAAAUUUCGUGUUUUUUCUAACUUUGCAGGGUUAUUUUUUAGAGUGUAACAAUGUUCUACAAAGUUGUAGAGCAGACAAUUACAAAAAAUUUGAUAUAUAGACAUAAGGGGUUUGCUUAUAAACAUCACAAGUUAUCGCGAUUUUACGAAAAAAAGUUUUGAAAAAGUUACUUUUUGCGUUUCUCUUUGUUUCGUCGUCCGUGUCUGUCGCGGGUGACCAUGAACGGCCAUGAUCAACGACGACAAACAAAAGGGCACUUUUGUGAACAAUAGUGUAUCCCUUUCACUCAAAUGACAGUUAAAAAAAGUUAUUUGCCCUAAUGAAAUGGCAAGCACGAAAUGUCGGUGGGGAUGUGUGUAGACAUGAAUUUCUUUUCACACGCAUAUCUCAAAACUGGCUGAAACGAUUUUGGCCGGGUUUGCCUUUUUAUGACCGCUUUGGGGUCCAAUAAGACCCUAUUCAAAAUUAUUAAGUUUAGUGAAGUAUUUUAAAAGUUAUGCUAUGAAAAAGUUUUUUGUAGAUACAAAAAAGGGUGAUUUUUUGCAUAACCUCAAAAGGCCGGGUCUUUUUGUUUACGUGCGAGAGUCGCGUCGGAUGCGAAAUGCCCGGUUGACCCAUUGCUUCAAAUGUGAGUCUGCAUGUUUUCUGGAUAAGUCUGUAUCAUGAAUAUUUUUUUUUUAUUCAUAAACUUAUUUUUAUCAGGUCCUUUUCGGUGCUGGAACCUGGUUUGGAUCGAGUCGGCUCAAUAAGCCGUAAGGCCGUAAACAAUGCAAAUCUGGAUUAGGACAACUUAGGAUUUGAAUUACUUUGUAAAUGUGAGGAAGGCGCCAACCACCUAUUGGUGGAUUAAGAAACGUUUUUUUUUUUUAAGAAGAUUAAGUGUGUGCUG